rnacentral:rRNA from 1 species
UAAAUACUCCCGAGAGACCGAUAGCGAACCAGUACUGUGAAGGAAAGGUGAAAAGAACCUCGAACAGAGGAGUGAAACAGACCCUGAAACCAUGCGCCUACAAGCGGUCGGAGCAUGUUAAAAUGUGACGGCGUGCCUUUUGCAUAAUGAACCUACGAGUUACUCUCGCUGGCAAGGUUAAGCGAUUCAGUCGCGUAGCCGAAGCGAAAGCAAGUCCGAAUAAGGCGUACAGUCAGCGGGAGUAGACGCGAAACCAAGUGAUCUACCCUUGGUCAGGUUGAAGGUUGGGUAACACCAACUGGAGGACCGCACCGAUAAGCGUUGAAAAGCUUACGGAUGAACUGAGGGUAGGAGUGAAAGGCCAAUCAAACUUGGAGAUAGCUCGUACUCCCCGAAAGGCAUUUAGGUGCCGCGUCGGAUGGUCACCGUGAGAGGUAGAGCGACCGAUAGGACAAGAGGGCUUCACCGCCUAUCGAGUCCUGACGAACUCCGAAUGCUCACGGUCUGCAGUCCGGCAGUAAGGGGGCGGGUGCUAAGGUCCGUCCCCGAGAGGAGAAGAAUCCAGACCGCCGUCUAAGGUCCCGGAGUUCUGCCUGAGUUAGUCUAACGAAGUCUGGUCCCUAUGACAGCUAGGAUGUUGGCUUGGAAGCAGCCAUUCAUUCAAAGAGUGCGUAACAGCUCACUAGUCGAGGGUCCGGGCAUGGAUAAUAAUCGGGUAUAAGGCAGACACCGAAGGCGCGGGAUAGCAUUUAAGAAAGUAUCGGUAGGGGAGCAUACUCACAGCGUUGAAUGGUGUACGUAAGUUAUCCUGGAGCGGUGAGUAAAGCAAAUGUAGGAAUAAGUAACGAUAAGGAGGGUUAGAUUCCCUCCCGCUGUAAGACCAAGGUUUCCCGGGCAAUGCCAAUCAGCCCGGGGUCAGUCGGGUCCUAAGUCUAAGCCGAACGGCGAUGGCGAUGGCAGAGACGGUUAAUAUUCCGUCACUGCCGCAUGGGGCGAUGUGGAGACGGAGCAGUGAAACCACCGCGGGGCGACGGAAGUCCCCGUUGAAGAGUGUAGGUGUUGAGGAUGGCAGGCAAAUCCACCAUCCGAGCUGAACUUGAUAGUAUGGAGUCUUCUUCGGAAGAAUCCAAUAGUGUGGGUAAUCAUACUCCCGAGAAAAUCCGCUAAGCUUAACCCAUGCGGCACCCGUACCGCAAACGGACACACGUGGUCGGGUAGAACAUACUAAGGCGUUGAGAGAUUCAUGGUUAAGGAACUAGGCAAAUUGACCCUGUAACUUCGGGAUAAAGGGUCCUCGUGAUGAGCGAGGCGCAGAGAAUAGGUCCAGGCAACUGUUUAACAAAAACACAGGGCUGUGCAAACUCGAAAGAUGACGUAUACAGCCUGACACCUGCCCGGUGCCGGAAGGUUAAGAGGAGAUGUCACUCGCAAGAGGAAGCAUUGAAUUGAAGCCCCGGUAAACGGCGGCCGUAACUAUAACGGUCCUAAGGUAGCGAAAUUCCUUGUCGGGUAAGUUC